AGAACGAACGCUGGCGGCAGGCCUCAAACAUGCAAGUCUAGGGGGCGUAGCAAUACGUCACCGGCGGACGGGUGCGUAACACGUGGGAAUGUACUUACUGGUUCGGAACAACUCAGGGAAACUUGAGCUAAUACCGAAUGUGCCCGAAAGGGGAAAGAUUUAUCGCCAGUAAAUCAGCCCGCGUCCGAUUAGCUAGUUGGUGGGGUAAAGGCCCACCAAGGCGACGAUCGGUAGCUGUUCUGAGAGGAAGAUCAGCCACACUGGGACUGAGACACGGCCCAGACUCCUACGGGAGGCAGCAGUUGGGAAUCUUGGACAAUGGGGAAACCCUGAUCCAGCCAUGCCGCGUGAGUGAUGAAGGCCUUCGGGUUGUAAAACUCUUUCGACGGGGACGAUAAUGACGGUACCCGUAGAAGAAGCUCCGGCUAACUUCGUGCCAGCAGCCGC
rnacentral:rRNA from 1 species